UGUCUUUUUCCUAAAACGAUUCA
rnacentral:miRNA from 1 species